UCCUGGUUUAUUCGUCGUUCAUUGGUUUUUUCAUACCUUUCCUUUGCAUUAUUGUAACAUUAGGGUGAAUAUAUUGUAGACCCAGCUGGAACAAGAGAGGAGGAUACGGGAGCAAAUGCAGGCGACGAUGGAGGCCGAGCAGCGGAGGAUGGUGGAGAUUCUUCAGUACAUGUAAAGUAUUGGCGCCGCUACGGGUGUAGCUCCGCCACCUUCGCUAUUCGCUCCACCUCCACCUCCUCACUAUUCUACUCCUAAUCAAUCGGCGGCAUCGAACGAUCCUCAUGCUUCAGCGAAUCAUUCACCAAAUCAGUUUCAUUGACCAUCUUGGUGAUGAUACUUGUGGUUGUUAAUGGUACUUCUAUUUGCAAUUAUGGUUGUAGAUGAUGGAGCACUUGGAUUACUUGUGAACUUAUUUGUGAUAUAUUGUGAGACAUGUGAUGUUUGUGAUAUAUAUGUGGUGUUGGUGA